rnacentral:rRNA from 1 species
GUAUGUUGACGUAUCUGAAAGGGAUACUUCUUCGGACAAUAUACAAGGUGGCUGCAUGGUUGUCGUCAGCUCGUGCCGUGAGGUGUCGGGUUAAGUCCCAUAACGAGCGCAACCCCUAUCAUUAGUUGCCAUCAGGUCAAGCUGGGGACUCUAAUGAAACUGCCUACGCAAGUAGUGAGGAAGGUGGGGAUGACGGUCAAAUCAGCACGGCCCUUACGUCCAGGGCUACACACGUGCUACAAUGGCCGGUACAAAGGGCAGCUACCUGGUGACAGGAUGCUAAUCUCAAAAGCCGGUACUCAGUUCGGAUCGGAGUCUGCAACCCGACUCCGUGAAGUUGGAUUCGCUAGUAAUCGCGCAUCAGCCAUGGCGCGGUGAAUACGUUCCCGGGCCUU